AUCCCAGUGGCAAUUGGUUAGCGCGCGUACUUAUAAUGCGAGGUUGUGGGUUCGAUCCUCACCUGGGAAA
rnacentral:tRNA from 1 species